rnacentral:rRNA from 1 species
AUUGAACGCUGGCGGCAGGCCUAACACAUGCAAGUCGAACGAGUGGCGGACGGGUGAGUAACGUCUGGGAAACUGCCUGAUGGAGGGGGAUAACUACUGGAAACGGUAGCUAAUACCGCAUACCAUCGGAUGUGCCCAGAUGGGAUUAGGUAGUAGGUGGGGUAAAGGCUCACCUAGGCGACGAUCCCGAGCUGGUCUGAGAGGAUGACCAGCCACACGGGAACUGAUACACGGUCCAGACUCCUACGGGAGGCAGCAGGGGGGAAUAUUGCACAAUGGGCGCAAGCCUGAUGCAGCCAUGCCGCGUGGAUGAAGAAGGCCGUAGGGUUGUAAAGUACUUUCAGCGGGGAGGCGUUACCCGAAGAAGAAGCAACGGCUAACUCCGUGCCAGCAGCCGCGGUAAUAC